UUGGGAUAAGAUAGGUAGAUUUGAGAAUCAUCAGCAUAGAGAUAAUAAUUAAAUCUUUUUUUCUAAUUUUAUCAAUCAUCUUUAUUGAUAAAAUUAUACAGUACACAUUCCAAAUACUUAUUUCAAGCUUCUGGAUUACAAAAAUAAUGCGUAUGUGAUGAAAACUUAUUACACAAAAUGAUGCUCUGCAAAACCCUAAAAUUAAAUCUCAAAAAGCACAAUAUAUCUAUGACAGUCAAAAAGAGAUAAAUUGAAUCACAACUUUAUUUACAAAAAUACCCAUCAAGUGUUUUUUAAUAAUAGCUGCCUCAAGAUUGCCACAUACUAAAUCUUAACAGUGCAGCUUGUUUUAUUUUCUUAAGUUAAAUGGGAUAAAAUCAAAAUUAUUUGGAGAAAUCUGACACCAAGUCAAGUACUGCUUCUUAAUCAAAAUAAGAUAGAAGACGGUUACCAAACAAUUUUAAGGGAAAAAAAUAUCUAUUUUUUAUUGAAAAUCUUCACUAAGGCCUCUGGAAUAAAGUUUUAUUUUAUUUUAAAUAAGAAACACCUAAUGUUUGGAAAGGUAAGUUUGAGUGAGCAGUUGUUGCUUUUACUUUUAACGAUAUAUAAGUCUUCACACACUAACAGAUUCUGCUAAAAGAGUAUUAUUUCAACAGAGGAUCUAAAUGGAACUUGCAAUCUGUGCUAAUUUGAGAAAGAUAAUAAUUAAAUCUUGAUGGGAGCUGUGAGAUCGCCAAAUGAAGUAGUGCAGAGGAAGAAGAGAAGAGUGCCCUGGACAGAUGCCCGUUACCACUGAUGGUCGAAGGGCCUAAACUGUAUGAGGACCUAGCAAAGGAUACUAAGAAGGAAUGGUCAGAUAGGCAGAAGGAGAACCAGGUUGCUUCCCAAAAGGCAGUUGCUACCUUGGGGGUCAGAGGCAUACCCCAUGGGGCCCGACUUCUGCCUGUGAGCUUCCUAUUAACAACCAGCAAGAAGACACAACUAAGUCUUACCAAAGUCACUCAUGAAGAAGUCAAAGUGAGAACAGGAGCUAGAAAACAUUCCUCCACAAACCUGAAGCCCACUACAACACAAAUACUCCCAUGUGGUGCAAAGAAUUGGAGAACAAUGGGAGCGAGGCACACGGCGGGAGACACACAUGGCCUCACAUGGCCUCACACGGCAGACAUGCUACUCUGGAGCGGCCUUUCUCCCUGUGCGUGGUCCUCUUUAUGGCCUAGUGUUUUUAAACUGAAUCCAUAGUCAUCUCUCUUCUCUGAUGCCAGGGGUCAUGCUCCUUAAAGCUGCUUCCUCCCUCAAGUCUUUCUUUAUCUAUGUCUGUCUGAAGUAUGUGUCUCUGUUCCCUCAACUGAGCCUUGAACUCUCUAAAACUGACUCUCCUAAUGUUGGAUGGAUCAGUAAAUCUGUGGCUGACUGAUGGGACCUGGGGGAGAGAAAUCCCCUCCUUCCUCCACCCCCUCCCUCACCCCAUAAUUGCUCAAGCCUAGUCCUUGACUUAUUCCAGGGCUUAGCUAGGUCAUGGCUACUUGGCCCAGCCAAUCAAGUCGUUUCAUUUUGACUCUAUCAGAGAGGUAUUCAUACUUUGUAGAGAGCUGUGGAAAACUCCUUAACACCUCCUUCUACUCAUUCUUCACACCUUGUUGUGAGGCUGUGGGAGGAUACAUACAGUUCAGUCAGCAAUGCCUACUAUGUAGUAGGCACUUUCAAUUUGAUGAAAUUUAUUUUUAACCAGAGCCCUGGGAAGUAGGUAGUAUAAUAUAAGUAUGUUCCCAUUUUAGAGAAGAAGAAAAUGAGGCUCUGAGAGCUUAAAUGAUUUCUCUCCAAUCAUGGCUGGAACAGGCAUGUCUUUGACUCCAAGUCAGUGGUUUAUCUACCACUUACUUCCCAUACCACUCCCUUUCUUUGGGUCUCAGUUUCUUCAUGUGUAAAAUGAAGGGAUUAGACCAGG
rnacentral:lncRNA from 1 species